CCUACGGGAGGCAGCAGUAGGGAAUUUUCCGCAAUGGGCGAAAGCCUGACGGAGCAACGCCGCGUGAGUGAGGACGGCCUUCGGGUUGUAAAACUCUGUUCUUGAGGAAGAGUUCCGGUCAGGUGAACAGUCUGACUGGUUGACGGUACUCAAGGAGAAAGCCCCGGCUAACUACGUGCCAGCAGCCGCGGUAAU
rnacentral:rRNA from 1 species